rnacentral:tRNA from 1 species
GGCUGGCUCAGUUGGUAGAGCAUGUGACUCUUGAUCGUAGGGUUGUGAGUUUGAGCCCCAUGUUGGCCA